GAGCUGCUCUUCUGCAGUGCGUUCUGCUACGCGCACGUAAACAGCUGUGCAGACAGCAGUGUAACCUCGUCAGGGAUCGUGAACUGAAUCUUAGAGGUGUUUAUUUUAUCUAUUAUGUAAGAGGAUGGGCGAAUUAAAUUAUUCUGAUUUGAACUACCGUGGCAAUCACGAGAUGUCCUGGGAAGGUGCAGCUGGUUAUCCGUCAGUCUACCGCGGCCGCGAGGUUAUGCGACCCCUGGACAUAGGUACCAAACAAACAUCCCUCCGUCGAGGGCAGUCCAUCUCACGACAAUGAUCAGGUGGUCAAACAUUAUAUAGGUCGAGCAAGUGGCCUUGCCAGUCUGAUAACAGAGAAUCUGCUGAUACAUCCGCUUCUCGCGUUAAGGAGACAGUGCAAAGUUAAUCCUAUUUCCAAAAAGUAUCAUGUGGGACUGAUAACUUCGAUACCGGUGAUGAUAAGGCUGCAUCAGACUCAAGAUUUGAAUACACUAUGGAAAGGCACUGGGACAGCACAUCGUUCUGAAAUGUGUUUCUAUUGGAAUAGUCACACCUUUUUACGCAGCCUCACUAGUUGAGACUGUUACUUGAAGUAAAAAGCAAAGGUCGUCUCAUUCCAAUAUCUCCAUUAUUACUGCCAAUAAUUGCAUAUGGACUCGUCAAGUACCUAUUUGCUAUUUCUGUCAAAAGAAUUGCAAGUUACAUAAUGAGAACUAGGCACAAAUACACUCAGGAGUCACGAAGUACAUAUUGCCAUAACAUGUCUGAAUUUGCUGCACAAGAUAUAGAAAUACAAGCUCCAUUAAUUUCCAUGUGCACAGCUAGUAUAAUUUUUUAUCCUUUUGAAACUGUUAUACAACGGUUGCACCUGCAGGGUACACGAACUAGAUCUUAUCGGAUAUAAAAUACCAGCAAUAGGGUAUGAGAUUUACAAAGUUCAUCUGCAAAUCUUGAUCUAUUGUCCAUUUCUACAUUUCAACGAGCUCUAAAAGUUCUCAAUCAAUAAGACCAAGUGCUUUAAGAGUCCACUCUAGUAUCAGGGUACACAUGAUAAUUUUGAUAGUUGUUCCAAUUGUUCUGGAAAAAUUGCUGUCUAAGAAGACUACUCUUGCUGUAGAAUCAGCUGUCCUGGCCUUUGAAGAAGUCUGUCCAGAUAGAAUAGAUCAUAUGCAUAAGAAGGAAACAGUGCUAAUGAUACCUCUGAUGAUUCUGUUUCAGAAUCAUUAGAGGUAAAGAUACCUAAAUUCACUCUUCAGGUAGAUGACAGGUUACUACUGCGUAACACAAAACCACUCCUAGAAUGUAGAAAUGCUGCAGUUGUAAUGGCAGUGGCCUAAUUGUACUACCAUGCUGCACCUUGAGGAGAGGCAUAAUUCCUUCAAAGGCCUUGAUUAGAUUACUCAGAGGUCACGGAGAAGUUCAAAGUGUGGUUCUCCACUGUAUAGCAAGCAUUUCGAUUCCUAGAAAGGGAAUGUUUGAGCCUUUCCUAAAAUCUUUCUUUGUCAGAACGUCUGAUUCAACUCACAUAAAAUUAUUGAAGUUUCAAUAAUUUUAAUUUUAAUUUCAAACCUAUAUCUCAAGUAGCGACAAAGAAUUAGUUCGUACUUGUAUCCAAGCUGUUGGAAGAUGUGCUAGUAAUAUUAAGGAAGUUACCGGUACAUGUCUAAAUGGAUUAGUCUCUCUAUUGAGAAAUAGAGAUGAAGCUAUUGUAGCAGAAGGCGUAGUAGUGAUAAAGCAACUUCUGCAAACUAAACCAAACGAAUAUAAGGAUAUAAUAGUUCGUAUGGCCAAAUUGAUGUACUUUAUAACUGUGCCACAAGCCAGAGCAUCUAUCCUGUGGCUCUUGGGUGAAUACUCUAACCCAGUGCUAAAAAUAGCGCCUGAUGUCUUAAGAAAAAUGUCAAAAACAUUCAUCAACAAGGAAGACAUACUGAAAUUGUAUUAUUCAAAAGUGUUAAUUAUACUACAUUCUGAAGAAGUGUUUAUAUUAUACGAAUUUAAGUUGUUUUAAGUUAAAUUUAAGUUAAUUUUAUACGAAUUUAUUGUUGUAAGAAACCAUGAAGCUACUCAUUUUAUGUAAAAGAAGAAAGUAAUAUAAAGCAAUAAAAUGUUUCCAUUGCUAAGUU
rnacentral:lncRNA from 1 species